rnacentral:rRNA from 1 species
AUGCAGUCGAGCGAGAACCCGCAAGGGGGACAGCGGCGAACGGGGUAGGACAACGUAGGUAACGUACCCUCGGGGCGAGGACAGCCACGGGAAACUGUGGGUAAUACUCGAUAAUGUUCCCUGCCUUGAUUGGCGGGGAACCAAUGGGUGAGAUUCCACCUGAGGAGCGGCUUACGCAGUAUCAGCUAGUUGGUGAGGUAACGGCUCACCAAGGCUACGACGCUUAGGGGGUGUGAGAGCAUGGCCCCCACCACUGGCACUGAGACACUGGCCAGACACCUACGGGUGGCUGCAGUCGAGAAUCUUCGGCAAUGGGCGCAAGCCUGACCGAGCGACGCCGCGUGCGGGAUGAAGGCCCUCGGGUUGUAAACCGCUGUCAGAGGGGAUGAAGUGUACGAGAGCUAUCUCUUGUAUUUGACAGAGCCUCAGAGGAAGCACGGGCUAAGUUCGUGCCAGCAGCCGCGGUAAUACGAACUGUGCGAACGUUAUUCGGAAUCACUGGGCUUAAAGGGUGCGUAGGCUGUUACCUAAGUCAGGUGUGAAAUCUCUCGGCUCAACCGGGAAACUGCGCUUGAUACUGGGUGGCUAGAGUGAGGUAGGGGUGUGUGGAACUUCCGGUGGAGCGGUGAAAUGUGUAGAUAUCGGAAGGAACGCCAGCAGCGAAAGCGGCACACUGGGCCUUUUCUGACGCUGAGGCACGAAAGCUAGGGGAGCGAACGGGAUUAGAUACCCCGGUAGUCCUAGCCGUAAACACUGAACACUCGAGGAGGGGGGCUUCGGCCUUCUUCUUCUUAGCGAAAGCGUUAAGUGUUCCGCCUGGGGAGUAUGGUCGCAAGGCUGAAACUCAAAGGAAUUGA